UACGUAGGGUGCGAGCGUUGUCCGGAAUUAUUGGGCGUAAAGAGCUCGUAGGCGGUUUGUCACGUCUGCUGUGAAAUCCCGAGGCUCAACCUCGGGCCUGCAGUGGGUACGGGCAGACUGGAGUGCGGUAGGGGAGAAUGGAAUUCCUGGUGUAGCGGUGGAAUGCGCAGAUAUCAGGAAGAACACCUAUGGCGAAGGCAGCUCUCUGGGACGGUACUGACGCUGAGACGCGAAAGCGUGGGGAGCAAACAGG
rnacentral:rRNA from 1 species